rnacentral:lncRNA from 1 species
GUUUGUUUUGUUUUCUUCUGGUUCUCGUGUCUUCUUUGGUUCGACCCGAUUUACCGUUGGUUUUCUUUCUUCUUGUAUUACUUCCAUUUUUGUUCCUUUAAAUAUUUUGGUUGAUGUUUUAUUUUAGCUUUUGCUUCUACCAUUGUUCUUAAUUUUAUUUUUGUAGUAUAUAAAACAUAUAUAUGUACAUGUGUGAACUGUUUGUUUUAAUGCUUGAACCUUUGUAACGCCCCGAACACACCCGCCGGUGGUCGUUACUAUUGGCAGGAUCUAGACUGGCCCCACAGAUCAAUACGAGUCUUUUCUACGCACUUUGUCCUCACUCGUGCGCACCCGGGAGCAACUUCCCGAUCAGUCACCCAUCCUGAAACUAAUCCAAGUUGAGCACGCUUAACUUUAGAGUUCAGUCUGAAUGGGCUCCCAGAAAAGAAGGAAUUCUUUAUUGAUAUGAGUAGUCUAUCAUCCCUAAUAAGUCAGGCUAUCACAUACACCCCCGCUCAGAGGAACCAACGUCCUCGUCGAGCAACAGGAAUGUUCCCUCUUGGCACAUACGUCUGUGCUUCCAGUCUGGCACAUGUGUCAUUCCGUGUGCCACGACGGGUCACAAACGUCAUGCACAACAUGACCGUGCACCUGUCCGCAAACAUUCGUGUAACCGUGACGGUCGACUCUGAUACCAACUCGUAACGCCCCGGACACACCCGCCGGCGGUCGUUACUCCUGGCCUGGUUGGUCUCUAUGCGACCAACCAAACAUGCCCUUAUUGUUGUCAAUAGGGGUAGAUAAAUCCUAUUUUAUGUUCAAUGCAAGGGGGGUUUGCCGGUUUGGGCCAUGGGCCUCACGCAUUUCCGGUUUCUUCUCGUUUUUGGUGGUUUCGACAUUUAUUUCAUGUUUGUUUUGUUUUCUUCUGGUUCUCGUGUCUUCUUUGGUUCGACCCGAUUUGCCAUUGGUUUUCUUUCUUCUUGUAUCACUUCCAUUUUUGUUCCUUUAAAUAUUUUGGUUGAUGUUUUCUUUUAGCUUUUCCCUCUUUCAUUGUUCUUAAUUUUAUUUUUGUAGUAUAUAAAACAUAUAUAUGUACAUGUGUGAACUAUUUGUUUUAAUGCUUGAACCUUU